rnacentral:rRNA from 1 species
AAGCCUCUAAGCAUCAGGUAACAUCAAAUCGUACCCCAAACCGACACAGGUGGUCAGGUAGAGAAUACCAAGGCGCUUGAGAGAACUCGGGUGAAGGAACUAGGCAAAAUGGUGCCGUAACUUCGGGAGAAGGCACGCUGACACGUAGGUGAAGUGAUUUACUCAUGGAGCUGAAGUCAGUCGAAGAUACCAGCUGGCUGCAACUGUUUAUUAAAAACACAGCACUGUGCAAACACGAAAGUGGACGUAUACGGUGUGACGCCUGCCCGGUGCCGGAAGGUUAAUUGAUGGGGUCAGCGCAAGCGAAGCUCCUGAUCGAAGCCCCGGUAAACGGCGGCCGUAACUAUAACGGUCCUAAGGUAGCGAAAUUCCUUGUCGGGUAAGUUCCGACCUGCACGAAUGGCGUAAUGAUGGCCAGGCUGUCUCCACCCGAGACUCAGUGAAAUUGAACUCGCUGUGAAGAUGCAGUGUACCCGCGGCAAGACGGAAAGACCCCGUGAACCUUUACUAUAGCUUGACACUGAACAUUGAGCCUUGAUGUGUAGGAUAGGUGGGAGGCUUUGAAGUGUGGACGCCAGUCUGCAUGGAGCCGGCCUUGAAAUACCACCCUUUAAUGUUUGAUGUUCUAACGUGGACCCGUGAUCCGGGUUGCGGACAGUGUCUGGUGGGUAGUUUGACUGGGGCGGUCUCCUCCUAAAGAGUAACGGAGGAGCACGAAGGUUGGCUAAUCCUGGUCGGACAUCAGGAGGUUAGUGCAAUGGCAUAAGCCAGCUUGACUGCGAGCGUGACGGCGCGAGCAGGUGCGAAAGCAGGUCAUAGUGAUCCGGUGGUUCUGAAUGGAAGGGCCAUCGCUCAACGGAUAAAAGGUACUCCGGGGAUAACAGGCUGAUACCGCCCAAGAGUUCAUAUCGACGGCGGUGUUUGGCACCUCGAUGUCGGCUCAUCACAUCCUGGGGCUGAAGUAGGUCCCAAGGGUAUGGCUGUUCGCCAUUUAAAGUGGUACGCGAGCUGGGUUUAGAACGUCGUGAGACAGUUCGGUCCCUAUCUGCCGUGGGCGCUGGAGAACUGAGGGGGGCUGCUCCUAGUACGAGAGGACCGGAGUGGACGCAUCACUGGUGUUCGGGUUGUCAUGCCAAUGGCACUGCCCGGUAGCUAAAUGCGGAAGAGAUAAGUGCUGAAAGCAUCUAAGCACGAAACUUGCCCCGAGAUGAGUUCUCCCUGAGACUUUAGGUCUCCUGAAGGAACGUUGAAGACGACGACGUUGAUAGGCCGGGUGUGUAAGCGCAGCGAUGCGUUGAGCUAACCGGUACUAAUGAACCGUGAGGCUUAACCUUACA